AGCGAACGCUGGCGGCAGGCCUAACACAUGCAAGUCGAACGAACCUUUCGGGGUUAGUGGCGGACGGGUGAGUAACACGUGGGAACGUGCCUUUAGGUUCCGAAUAACUCAGGGAAACUUGUGCUAAUACCGAAUGUGCCCUUCGGGGGAAAGAUUUAUCGCCUUUAGAGCGGCCCGCGUCUGAUUAGCUAGUUGGUUGAGGUAAUGGCUCACCAAGGCGACGAUCAGUAGCUGGUCUGAGAGGAUGAUCAGCCACAUUGGGACUGAGACACGGCCCAAACUCCUACGGGAGGCAGCAGUGGGGAAUCUUGCGCAAUGGGCGAAAGCCUGACGCAGCCAUGCCGCGUGAAUGAUGAAGGUCUUAGGAUUGUAAAAUUCUUUCACCGGGGACGAUAAUGACGGUACCCGGAGAAGAAGCCCCGGCUAACUUCGUG
rnacentral:rRNA from 1 species